CAGACUAUCCACUUCUCGCGGCUUACGUUGGCCGACACCGGCCCUCACCUUCUCUCUCUCCCUCUCCCCAUUUGCCGGCUUUUAUAGCCUUAAAAAGAUGGGAAAAAAAUAAUUUAUUAUUCUAAAGAGAGAAGCUAGAGAGAGAGAGAGAGAGACGUUAUAGUUUUACAGCUUUUGAAUCCAAUUCUGGUCCUGUAAAUUGAUACUGCUACGGUACGUGUGUGUGUGAGAGUGAGGUUUGACUUUAUUGACAGACUGAUAGAUAAAUGGUCCAUAAGGGUCCAAGGAAUGGGGAGAUUAAUUCAUAGUUUGGCUUGGUGUUUUUGCUCUAAAACUGGUUAUUGAAGUGACUGUUUCAAAGUGGUGCGGGUCUUCAUUUUGGAGAUUGCAUUAGACAGGUCUGCAAUUGUUUGAGAUACGGUGACACUACCAUGGGUGUCUCUGGGAAAUGGUUUAAAGCAUUGGUUGGUUUAAAGAAGUCAGAAAAGUCACAAUCUUCAGAGAAGGAUGACAAUAGUACCGCUACUCGUAAGUUCCAGCAUAGGAGAAAGCAUGCAGUUGAGGUUGAUGCUGAUAAGCUUCAAGUGGAGUUUAAGGAUAAUGUUGCUGAACCAGUUGGUGAUGCCAAUAUCCAUUCUGUCCCAGAUGCUUCAGAAUCCCCUUCUGCUUCACUUCAAGCACAGUAUGUAGCACAGAAUCAACAAGUUUUGAGAGAAGAAUGGGCCGCCACACGCAUCCAAACAGCUUUUCGAGGAAUUCUGGCUAGAAGAGCUCUACGAGCGUUAAAAGGAUUAGUUAGACUACAAGCACUUGUAAGGGGUCAUGCUGUGAGAAAGCAGGCUGCAAUAACUCUUCGCUGC
rnacentral:misc_RNA from 1 species